rnacentral:rRNA from 1 species
CGAACGCUGGCGGCGUGCUUAACACAUGCAAGUCGAACGAAGAGCGAUGGAAGCUUGCUUCUAUCAAUCUUAGUGGCGAACGGGUGAGUAACGCGUAAUCAACCUGCCCUUCAGAGGGGGACAACAGUUGGAAACGACUGCUAAUACCGCAUACGAUCCAAUCUCGGCAUCGAGGAUGGAUGAAAGGUGGCCUCUAUUUAUAAGCUAUCACUGAAGGAGGGGAUUGCGUCUGAUUAGCUAGUUGGAGGGGUAACGGCCCACCAAGGCGAUGAUCAGUAGCCGGUCUGAGAGGAUGAACGGCCACAUUGGGACUGAGACACGGCCCAGACUCCUACGGGAGGCAGCAGUGGGGAAUCUUCCGCAAUGGACGAAAGUCUGACGGAGCAACGCCGCGUGAGUGAUGACGGCCUUCGGGUUGUAAAGCUCUGUUAAUCGGGACGAAAGGCCUUCUUGCGAAUAGUUAGAAGGAUUGACGGUACCGGAAUAGAAAGCCACGGCUAACUACGUGCCAGCAGCCGCGGUAAUA